AUUGAACGCUGGCGGCGUGCUUUACACAUGCAAGUCGGACGAGUGGCGAACGGGUGAGUAACGCAUCGGAACCUACCGAGUAAUGGGGGAUAACUGUCAGAAAGGACAGCUAAUACCGCAUACUAUUCUAUCUGCCUAUGUCGGAUUAGCUGGUUGGGGGGGUAAAGGCCCACCUAGGCGACGAUCCGUAGCGGGUCUGAGAGGAUGAUCAGCCACACUGGGACUGAGACACGGUCCAGACUCCUACGGGAGGCAGCAGUGGGGAAUUUUGGACAAUGGGCGCAAGCCUGAUGCAGCCAUGCCGCGGGUAUGAAGAAGGCCUUCGGGUUGUAAAGGACUUUUAGCAGGGAAGCGGUACCUGAAGAAUAAGCACCGGCUAACUACGUGCCAGCCGCCGCGGUAAUAC
rnacentral:rRNA from 1 species